AGAUGUUGCUCUAAAUGGAGUUUCCUGGAGUUCCAUGCUGGCCAUAAGCCUCCUGUGAAUAAUGCAGAGAAAAAGGAGAUCGCAGUUCGAGCCGAUUCCCUCUGCCCGCCGACUCUAGAAACAACCUCUUCCCUCCUUCUCACGAAUCAAGAUUCCACGCCACAGAAAAUAUUAGUCAUGAGGCAACAUGAGGUUGGGACCCACAUGAAGAAACAGCUCCCCCGAGGAAAAUAAAAUGAACCUCCUCCCAGGACCCAGACCUCCCUAGAGGAGCCACGGUGUUUUCGUUUUAAAAGAUAGUCAAAAUAAAUAAAGAUAUGUGGAUGCAGAGCCAGCAGUGGCGGCCGCUCCCUCCUCCGGUUUCAUUUCGCAGUGGGGAUGCUCCUAAAUGAACCUGCUCCAGAAACUGAAGUUUGAAAUGGAGCUCCUAACUCAUUUUGUCACGCAGCUGAGAAAUGCCCCUUUUAAUGGAAAGAAACAGAAAAGGACAAUUCCAUCUUUGAUUGAUGGACUGCAUUACGGGGUAUAAAUAAAAGGAAGUGUGAUAACCUCACUGUGGCACAGGCCAACCGCAGAGUCCCUAACUGGGGUGGCUGUGUCUACAUGGGACUACCAGAGGUGGCCAUGCAUGGCCUGGUGGUCAGGGCAGGGAGCAUCGAUGGAGAGCUUGCACCCCGUGAGUGGGACUGCCAGAGGGCCCCCAAGACAUCCCCAACGUGAGCGUUUCACUUUUCAGGUGGGGAAACUGAGGCCCACCAUGGUCUGUCCCACCAGAGGUUGUCUCGUGACAAACCCAGGCACAGGAAUUCCCACCCAGGUCUUCUUAGGAGCUAGAACAUUCUGCCCACUUCUUCACCAUUUGUCGUCUCCUGGAAAUUAUUGGAAAUUAAAGUGGAUUUGUCAACACUCGACUGAGCAAUGUCUUUGAUGUUGCAGAGGAAAUUUGGUCUUUGAAUUCGAGUGGGAGCCCCACUGUCCACCAAGCCCCAGUGGUGUGUCUGGGGCCCUCUCCUGCAGAGCACAGGGCAUGGGACGCACUGUGCCGUCAUUCCUGCAGGCUGCUUCCCGGGCCUGGG
rnacentral:lncRNA from 10 species